UACAGAGGUCUCAAGCGUUGUUCGGAUUCAUUAGGCGUAAAGGGUGCGUAGGUGGUGAUGCAAGUCUGGUGUGAAAUCUCGGAGCUCAACUCCGAAAUUGCACCGGAUACUGCGUGACUCGAGGACUGUAGAGGAGAUCGGAAUUCACGGUGUAGCAGUGAAAUGCGUAGAGAUCGUAAGGAAGACCAGUGGCGAAGGCGAGUUUCUGGACGGUAACUGACGCUGAGGCACGAAGGCCAGGGGAGCAAACGGG
rnacentral:rRNA from 1 species